rnacentral:rRNA from 1 species
UGCAGUCGAGCGGGGUGAUGGUGCUUGCACUAUCACUUAGCGGCGGACGGGUGAGUAAUGCUUAGGAAUCUGCCUAUUAGUGGGGGACAACAUUUCGAAAGGAAUGCUAAUACCGCAUACGUCCUACGGGAGAAAGCAGGGGAUCUUCGGACCUUGCGCUAAUAGAUGAGCCUAAGUCGGAUUAGCUAGUUGGUGGGGUAAAGGCCUACCAAGGCGACGAUCUGUAGCGGGUCUGAGAGGAUGAUCCGCCACACUGGGACUGAGACACGGCCCAGACUCCUACGGGAGGCAGCAGUGGGGAAUAUUGGACAAUGGGCGGAAGCCUGAUCCAGCCAUGCCGCGUGUGUGAAGAAGGCCUUAUGGUUGUAAAGCACUUUAAGCGAGGAGGAGGCUACUUUAGUUAAUACCUAGAGAUAGUGGACGUUACUCGCAGAAUAAGCACCGGCUAACUCUGUGCCAGCAGCCGCGGUAAUACAGAGGGUGCAAGCGUUAAUCGGAUUUACUGGGCGUAAAGCGCGCGUAGGCGGCUAAUUAAGUCAAAUGUGAAAUCCCCGAGCUUAACUUGGGAAUUGCAUUCGAUACUGGUUAGCUAGAGUGUGG